rnacentral:rRNA from 1 species
UGGCGAACGGGUGAGUAACGCGUGAGGAACCUGCCUCAAAGAGGGGGACAACAGUUGGAAACGACUGCUAAUACCGCAUAAGCCCACGACCCGGCAUCGGGUAGAGGGAAAAGGAGCAAUCCGCUUUGAGAUGGCCUCGCGUCCGAUUAGCUAGUUGGUGAGGUAAUGGCCCACCAAGGCGACGAUCAGUAGCCGGCCUGAGAGGGUGAACGGCCACAUUGGGACUGAGACACGGCCCAA